rnacentral:rRNA from 1 species
GAUGAACGCUGGCGGCGUGCCUAAUACAUGCAAGUCGAGCGAACAGACGAGGAGCUUGCUCCUCUGACGUUAUCGGCGGACGGGUGAGUAACACGUGGAUAACCUACCUAUAAGACUGGGAUAACUUCGGGAAACCGGAGCUACUACCGGAUAAUAUAUUGAACCGCAUGGUUCACUAGUGAAAGACGGUUUUGCUGUCACUUAUAGAUGGAUCCGCGCCGCAUGACGUAGUUGGUAAGGUAACGGCUUACCAAGGCUACGAUGCGUAGCCGACCUGAGAGGGUGAUCCGACACACUGGAACAGAGGCACAGUCCAGACUCCUACGGGGGGCAGCAGUAGGGACUCUUCCGCCAGGGGGGAAAGCCUGACGUAGCAAAGCCGCGUGAGGGAUGAACGUCUUCGGAUCGUAAAACUCUGUAAUUAGGGAAGAACUAAAGUGUAAGUACCUGUGCACGUCAUGACGGUACCUAAUCAGUAAGCUACGGCUAACUACGUG